UUAAGUUCAGCGGGUAUUCCUACCUGAUCCGAGGUCAACCUUGAAAAUUUGGGGGUUUCACGGCCGGAACCCGCUACACGUCCAGAGCGAAGAGAGAACUACUGCACUCGGUGUGAUAGCGAGCCCGCCACUGGUUUUAGGAGGCUGCGGGCAGCCGCAGGGCUCCAACACAAGCCUGGGGCUUGAUGGUUGAAAUGACG
rnacentral:misc_RNA from 1 species